rnacentral:tRNA from 1 species
GGCAGGGUAGCCUAGUGGUUAGAGCGUUGGGCUAGUAACCGAAAGGUUGCAAGUUCAAAUCCCCAUACCU